AGAGUUUGAUCAUGGCUCAGGAUGAACGCUAGCGGCAGGCUUAACACAUGCAAGUCGAGGGGUAACAGGUCUUCGGACGCUGACGACCGGCAAACGGGUGCGGAACACGUACACAACAUACCCUUUACUGGGGGAUAGCCCGAAGAAAUUCGGAUUAACACCCCAUAGUAUGAUAGGAAGGCAUCUUCUCUUCAUUAAAAAUUUAUUGGUAAAGGAUUGGUGUGCGUCCCAUUAGAUAGUUGGCGGGGUAACGGCCCACCAAGUCAGCGAUGGGUAGCUGGUGUGAGAGCACGACCAGCCACACGGGCACUGAGACACGGGCCCGACUCCUACGGGAGGCAGCAGUGAGGAAUAUUGGUCAAUGGACGCAAGUCUGAACCAGCCAUGCCGCGUGGAGGAUGACAGCCUUCUGGGUUGUAAACUUCUUUUAUAUGGGAAGAACAGCACGGUUUCUACUGUGUCCGACGGUACCAUAUGAAUAAGCACCGGCUAACUCCGUGCCAGCAGCCGCGGUAAUACGGAGGGUGCAAGCGUUAUCCGGAUUUACUGGGUUUAAAGGGUGUGUAGGCGGAUAUUUAAGUCAGAGGUGAAAUCUCCGGGCUCAACCCGGAAACUGCCUUUGAUACUAUUUAUCUUGAAUUUCGUUGAGGUUGGCGGAAUAUAUCAUGUAGCGGGUGAAAUGCAUAGAUAUGAUAUAGAACACCGAUUGCGUAGGCAGCUGGCUGAACGAACAUUGACGCUGAGGCACGAAAGCGUGGGUAGCGAACAGGAUUAGAUACCCUAGUAGUCC
rnacentral:rRNA from 1 species